rnacentral:rRNA from 1 species
GUCUACGGCCAUGCUAUCCUGAAUGCGCCCAAUGUUGUCUCAUCUCAGAAGCUAAUCUAGGUUGGGCCUGGUUAGUACUUGGAUGGGAGACCAAGAUUGAAUUCACACAUAUGGUGCUAGGAA